CUGAACGCCUCUAAGUCAUAAA
rnacentral:misc_RNA from 1 species